CUGACCUCUCCAUAUCCAUUGCUCGAUAAAGUUUUCUAAUUGUACCUUCGACUGAGUGAAGAUCAUCUUAAGCCUUGCACAAUCAUUCACUGCAAAAACUUUUGCCGCCCCUAUUCUCUAGUUAGCAUUCUUAGUAGACUUCGCAAAUCUAUCAUGCUCUUCAGUCAAUCUGUAUUCUAUAGCAAAAUAUUUUCUAUCCAUCUGCUUCAGACAUUUCCUCAAAUGUUCUACCUCUGCCAAAGACUCAUUGUUCUUCUUUUUCAUCUUCUGGAGUUUAUUUUUUGCUUUGGCAGCAUCUCGUUGAGCCCGAUAGAGGUCCUCC
rnacentral:lncRNA from 1 species